GCGGCUAUGUUGUGCGGGGCGAGCCUGGCUCGCCCCGCACGCAGCAAGAGAGGUUGUGAUCCUCUAAGUACCGGUUCGAAUCCGGUUGGUCGCCCCA
rnacentral:tRNA from 1 species